rnacentral:tRNA from 1 species
AAAGCCUUAUGUUAAUUUAAACAAAUAGCCUUCAAAGCUAUAAAUAAAAGAUAGACUUUUAGGCUUUA